CUGAGAUAAAUGAUGCUUGGGGACAUUCAAGUAAACAUAAACACAGUCCAGAAAAGGCUACUUUUAGUAGGAAAUGCAUCCUUAGAGUACUACCUGAAAUUACCAGGUGGCUACAAUUAAUUUCAAUUAAUGUCCUUUUAAAAAAAAAUCAUCACAUAUAGUAGAAAAUGAUUCAUAGUUGUUAGGGGGAAGAAAGUAAAACUUGUAAAUCACUGUCAGAUUAUAUAAACACCGCAUAGACUCAUUUUUAUCUUUAAUGGACCAAAACCAGAAACAUUUGACAUGCAUGCAUAUGCAUAGUCUGCAUGCUACGGUCAUCAUCAAAUGAAUCACAUUCUCAUUCUUCUCACUGAUACACAAGAAUGGCAUGUUUCAAGGAGAACACUUUUCCCAUCCUGAGCUUUUGAAUGUCCCCAUUGUGCACCCAGAAAACAGCUAGCUGGCAGGGUGGACGUGGGAGUUAAGCUGAAGUCUUCAUGAAUCUCAGCUGGCUUCACAUACAAGAAUCAUAGUGCCUUCCCUGCUCCCAUUUUCUCCUUCAUCAAUCAUUCAGCAAAUAUUUAUUAGAGACAUUUUAGAUGCAGGCUCAAGGCACUGGGGUAGGCAGUGAGAAAACCGAAGAAUCUUUUAUUCUGUAAGAAUAGAUAGAACUUGUACCUAAAUAUUCCUGGGAUAUGGUAGGUAGUAAACACCUUUUACCUGGGAUGUAGAAAAUGCUUCAUGGAGAUGGGACGCUCAUUUUCCCUGGGCCUUGAUGGGUGUCAAGGAUGUGGAAUUGCAGAGAUGAGAGGGUUGGUGGGAAAAAUCUUUAUUUCCUCACUUUGGAUGCAUAGUCUCUUUCUUUUUUUUCUUCCAACAUUUCAAAAUUCACUGUCAGGAAAGAAUCAUGGAAAUAUUUGAAAAUAACCAAAACUUCCUUAGGUUUUCAUCUUCCCCAAUGUGUAUAUUUAUUGAAUGAUUAAUUUUAAAACCUCAGGAGUUAAUCUUUAAUGGUAGAAACAGUAGCUCAAGUAAUAGGCCAUGCAUGAGAUAUUUUUGGUUAGGGAGACAAUAUCAUAAUCCCUUGAAUCACACUAUGUAGGAAUUUAACUUUUCCAUCUAUAGACAAGGUCAUGGUACAGAAUGUUCCUUCCUAGGGAAGCAGACAGGUAAUGUAACCUCAGGCAUGCUGAAUUAUUUUUUGUCUCUCAGCCCCCCAGACCCUUACAACUUCAUGAGGUUAAAUUUAACCCUAGGAUGUCAAUUGAGCAUCAGCUCUCUUAAGGUGACUCAGUCACAGAUUCUUGGAGUAAAAUUUUAAAUGUAUACUACAAAAGUAUCUCUAAAUGCAAAGGAAAGGGGUGUCUGUUUAUUUUAAUGUCCAGUGGGCAUGUUUCUGGCUAACCCUGGAUUAUAUCACCUUUGAGAUUUAUUCCAUUUCAACUUUUCUAGUGUUCUUUUGGUGAGACUAUAAACAAAACAAAAAAAGCUUUGUGUUAGGAGCCAUACUACUUUGAGAAAGUUACUUAGGAGUUCCUGUUAUGGCUCAGCAGGUUAGGAACCCUACUAGUAUCUGUGAGGAUGAGGGUUUCAUCCCUGCCCUCACUCAGUGGGUUAAGUUUCUGGUAUUGCUGUAAGCUGUGGGGUAGGUUGCAAAUGCCACUCUAAUUUGGUGUUGCUGUGGCUGUGGUAUAGGUCCGCAGCUGCAGCUCUGAUUUGACCCCUACCCUGAGAACCUCCAUAUGAUGUAUGUUAUUAUAAGGAAGAAAUAAUAAUCUCUUAGUGACAGCACAGGAUAGUGCCAGGUAGGUAUCAGGUGUUCAGAAGUGUUUGAUUCCUACCUUCCUUACUAGAAUCUCUGUGGACAGUAGGUGCUACAGACCAACAAAGAGUGGCCCCCCUGUAUUGAUUUGGCUGGCAGCUGUCCCACUUCCUUGCAACAGAAGCCUACAUGCUCUCUACUGAAUGUGGUUUCUAUGCUAUUGCCUGAUGUGCUAACUACAAGUAGAUACUUCAUACACUUUUCAGUAAGACUUUCUUCUCAUAUUACACAUCACAUCAGGCAGCUCAUGAAAGGUUAAAAGAAAGUAGUUCAGGAGAUAAAAAACAUUAAGAUUGGACUUACAUAUAGAUUGCAGAAGAAAAAGAAAAUUAUAAGAAAAGAGUUUACGUGAAGCCAGUCAAAUAUAAAAAUUCCACUAUAGAAUGAUGCAAAUAGUUUUCCAGUGGGAGGCCAAUGUCCAGUCCAUUUGGAAAGUUCACAUUUACCAUGAGAAUCAACACUGACUCCAUUUUUUCCCGCUCAGUUUCCAAACUCACUAACUUACCUUUUUAUCGCUACAAAUCUUUUGAUCUGGCUCAUCUUACCAGUAAUAUUGCAUGUCUAAGAGUCAAAGAUGGCAACUUUUUCCUUCCUUAAUACAGUGUUGACACAGGUGGUGUCCAGAAAAUUUACAUGUUAAUUGAAAACUGUCUCCCUCUGCCCUCUAGUUCCCAAGUAGUCCUAGUCCUUCUAGGAUUUCCCAGUGAUCACAGGAAGAACAAAUGCUUUCACAAUAAUAUUCAUGGUUUAACAUAUACAUUUUUCAUUGACACUUCCAAAGAGAACCCAGAAAUAGAAGACAAAUUAUAUGUUAAUCUUAUGGUUAGCAUUUUUCUAGUUUUGAUCUUAAAAUUUAGAUUUUGAUUUAUUAUAGGAUUAGUUUCUUAAAUCUCAUAUUUAUGUUUUAGUGUAAUAUUUAAAUGGUUUGCAGCUGACUUUUCUCUUAUGUAUGGCAUAAGAGAUGAGAUGAUUUUAAGAUGAUUAUUUUGAGAUGUUUUAAUGAUUUAUCCAGUGCUAUUUAUUCAUUCACUCAUUCAUUCAAUAUAGACUGAGCAUCCACCAAUGCACUAGGACUUGACUGUAGUUUU
ensembl:lncRNA